rnacentral:tRNA from 1 species
GGCUUGUGGCUCAGUGGUAGAGCGCUCGCCUUGCACGUAUGAGACCCUCGGUUCCAUCCUCAGCACCA